rnacentral:piRNA from 1 species
UGUUCAAGAACAAAACGGAAUGAUGAGCG